CUACGGGGUGCUCCAGUGGGGAAUAUUGCACAAUGGGCGCAAGCCUGAUGCAGCCAUGCCGCGUAUAUGAAGAAGGCCUUCGGGUUGUAAAGUACUUUCAGCGGGGAGGAAGGGAGUAAAGUUAAUACCUUUGCUCAUUGACGUUACCCGCAGAAGAAGCACCGGCUAACUCCGCGCCAGCAGCCGCGGUAAUACGGAGGGUGCAAGCGUUAAUCGGAAUGACUGGGCGUAAAGCGCACGCAGGCGGUUUGUUAAGUCAGAUGUGAAAUCCCCGGGCUCAACCUGGGAACUGCAUCUGAUACUGGCAAGCUUGAGUCUCGUAGAGGGGGGUAGAAUUCCAGGUGUAGCGGUGAAAUGCGUAGAGAUCUGGAGGAAUACCGGUGGCGAAGGCGGCCCCCUGGACGAAGACUGACGCUCAGGUGCGAAAGCGUGGGGAGCAAACAGGAUUAGAUACCCCUGUAGUC
rnacentral:rRNA from 1 species